AUAUCAUCUGCGAACAUCAUGGUCAAAAGGGGAUUCCAGUCUAACCUCGUCUGUCAGCAUAUCCAUUACUACCGCAAACACAAAGGGGCUCAGCGUGGAACCCUGAUGCAGUCCCACCUUCACCUUGAAUUCUUCUGACACACCUACGGCACAUCUCACAGAUGUUCUGCUGCUCUCAUACAUGUCCUGUACUAUUCUAACAAUUCUCCACCACACCAGACUUGUGCAUGCAGUACCACAGUUAUUCUCUUGGUACUCUGUCAUGGGCUGUCUCUAGGUCUACAAAGGUACAAUAUAGCUCCUUCUGACCUUCUCUGUACUUUUCCACGAGCAUCAUUAAGGCAAAUAAUGCAACUGUGGUACUCUUUCAAGGCAUGAAACCAUACUGUUGCUCGCAGAUACUUACUUCUGUCCUGAGUCUAGCCUCCACUACUCUUUCCCAUAACUUCAUCAUGUGGCUCAUCAUCUUUAUUCCUCUGUAGUUUCCACAGUUCUGAACAUCGCUUUUGUUCUUAAAAAUGGGGACUAGCACACUUUUCCUCCAUUCUCCAUUCUCCUGGCAUCUUCUCUCCCGCUAGUAUUCUUUUGAAUAAGUUGGUCAAAAACUCUACAGCCACCUCACCAAACUGCUUCCAUACCUCCAAUGAGCUCCAGACCAGUGGGACUAGGAGCCGCUGUGCAUGCUCACAUGUGCAUAGCAGCUCAAAGCCACUUCCGGCCUCAACAGACGAGUAAAUAUGCUAAACCUCGAUGCAAGACAUGCAUGAAUGACGCCACAGCGGCUCUUUGGCUGGACUAAAAACAACUCCCAGAGCGUUUCUGCAACAUUUCCUCUUUAGCGUCAUCGUAGUUAAGUAAUGUCAGAUGAAGGAUGUUGAUGCAGAUUGCUCCGCGGUGUUCGGCUUGUGCCGUAUGAAAGAAUGUCAUCAAUCUCAUCGAUUUAUAUUUUAUUAGCAGUCAGAAAAUAAAAUCAACAUCUGAUGAUCAUUAAUGAUGGGGAUCUGUGAAUUUUUAAAUGGACUCG